rnacentral:rRNA from 1 species
GACAGAGGGUGCAACCGUUGUUCGGAUUUACUGGGCGUAAAGCGCGUGUAGGCGGCUUUGCAAGUCGGAUGUGAAAUCCCACGGCUCAACCGUGGAAGUGCAUCCGAAACUGCAUCGCUGGAGUCUCGGAGAGGAAGGUGGAAUGCUUGGUGUAGAGGUGAAAUUCGUAGAUAUCAAGCAGAACACCUGCGGCGAAGGCGGCCUUCUGGACGAUGACCGACGCUGAGACGCGAAAGCGUGGGGAGCAAACAGG